AUGACUAGAGAAAUGAAUGGGUUUUUGAUGGCCUCAAGGGGUAACUUGAAGUACAGAAGGAAAUGUGCCAAAAGAAAGAGGUCUCAAAGAAACAAGAACAGGGGUUUGAUACUUGGUUGCAAAGAGCUCAGGCCGUCCUCUUGUCGAAUCCAGAAGGUUGGGAUUGGAGGGCCCCAUAUUCGGAUUGAAGAUGGGAGUUUCAUCGGCAUGAACUUCUAUGAUGAAAGUGGAACAAUUCCUUAUCUGCCGAGCAAUAUUGCAGAAGUUUUGAGUAGAGGAUUUACUCUUCUGGACAUAGGAUUGGACAAAGGUCCCAUUAUCCUGGACAGGGACAAAAGGGGGAAUGCUGCGAAGAGAAACCGGUGGUCUGUGCCCGAGCCAUAUUGGUGUCUUGACGAUUAUGGUGAUGUUCUAGACCAGCUCCGUGGAAGAGUUCUCAUGUAA
rnacentral:rRNA from 1 species